CUUCACGAUAGGAUUCCACACAGGGCUAGUGGCAAUACCGGGAGGCACCCUAGAAUGUAGGAACCUACAAUCAGCCUUACAAGAUCCCGUCACUACGAACGCACUACUUACAGCCGAGGUCAACCAUGGGUUCAUGAUAGGCCCAUUCACACACCCCCCAUAUGCCAGUUUCAGAACUAACCCAAUUGGCAUUGCUACUGGAAAAU